ACUCAAAGGAAUUGACGGGGGCCCGCACAAGCGGCGGAGCGUGCGGUUUAAUUCGACGCGACGCGCAGAACCUUACCCGGGCUUGACGUGCCCCUGCAAGCGCACGGAAACGUGUGACCUUCGAGGGUGGGGCGCAGGUGCUGCAUGGCUGUCGUCAGCUCGUGCCGUGAGGUGUUGGGUUAAGUCCCGCAACGAGCGCAACCCCCGCCGCCAGUUGCCGAGGUUUCUGGCGGGACGGCCCCGCGAGGGGAGGAAGGAGGGGACGAUGUCAAGUCAGCAUGGCCCUUACGUCCGGGGCGACACGCACGCUACAAUGGCCGGGACAGCGGGUGGCCAAGCCGCGAGGCGGAGCUAAUCCCCCAAACCCGGUCUCAGUUCGGAUCGGGGGCUGCAACCCGCCCCCGUGAAGCCGGAGUCGCUAGUAACCGCGGGUCAGCACUACCGCGGUGAAUGUGUUCCCGGGCCUUGCACACACCGCCCGU
rnacentral:rRNA from 1 species